GGGGCCCUCUGCCCCUCUUUCAGACUUGACUGAAAGGGACUUGCUAGGUCAUGUUUUAUGGGACAGGCAAACGAAUACCAGCAAAGGGAUUUGGUGCAGCAACCAAGGCCAAGAAGAAGGAGUGAUUGUCGAGAACACAGAGUGAGUGAUCCAGACUCCCAGCCAGUCCAGUUUGUUUCCACUGUCCAGCGCUGCCUCCCAAGCUCUGAAAUAAGUGUCUGGGUGCUUUAAAUAGACAUCUGCAAUUUAUUAUUAUAGUGGAAACUGUGAGUCUCCACUGUUUUUCUACGUGAUCCCAGCAACAAGCCCAGUGCCAGUGGAAAUCACACUCCUGACUGUCAGCCAAUGUAUUUCUGAGAAGGUUAGAUCCUGGAUGCCCCAGACCAGAAUGGUAACAACUCCAGAAGCUGGUAGAGUGUCUGACCAAGAUCUGUGAAAGGUCAGUGAUUCCUGCCUCCAGAUCCCCAUGACAAUCAUCAAAUGUCUGCAAGAGGCCAUUUUCCAGGCUGUCACCCUCAGGCCAUCUCUGCACUCUCACUGCCCAGGCACCUCAACAUCAUGGUGACACCAAUUGUCUAAGAUGUCUCACAAAGGGGAGAAGGAAAAAAGAAUGAGCACUUAGAGCAAGCUCCAAAGUCCUCCUGAGAGAAGGAAUGUGAUGGUUUUGUCCCUCUGAACCUGUCUGUGGCUGAGGGAUGAAGCCCUCCCCCUCCACCCCCAUUCCACCAGCCUCUUCUCUGCUAGGAGCCUGGGCCAAGUCAGGAGGAAAGGCCAGACUCCACGCAUGGACUGAUGGCCCAGAGAUACACAGAGCCAUGUGAUGCUCCAAUCGGGUGCUUGUGAGGACCCCUUAUGAGAAAAUCAGCAGGGCUGAGACUGUCAGGCCUUCGCCCUUGGAGCACUCUCUCAUCUCUGACCCUGGGGGCCACCCCACACGGCAGAAGGCAAAAUUUGUUCCUGCUUAACUCUUGCUGGUGCAGCAAUCCAUUGGCAAAGAGCCCAGCUUGUCUUUUCUAAUUCAUGUUCAAAACAAUUCAUGCUCAUGAGCAAGCAAGCAAACACAACUCUAGCAAAAAAUAGGAAAAAGAGAACGAACUUGUUCCUAAAAGGAAGAAGGAUGGAAAAGCUCUCCUUGUGCUGUCUCCCUUCCACUCCAGGACCUGUACAUUCAGGGAAACAGCAAAAAGGAAGAGAAAUGGGCAAUGUUUGGGGGCAUGUUUUAUCAGAUCACAAGAAGACUCCGGAGCCUGACCCAACUGUGAAACAUGAAUUUCAUAAACAACAAAUCUGAGUUUUCAUAUGCCCACACGCCUACCCGGAGAAAGAAGAAUCCAAAAGACUCUGCUCGAAGAAGAUUGUCCUUGCAAAGAAUGUUUAGAGGAUGCGAUGUCUCCACUAUAAAAUGCUCAGAAAAAUCAGAAGCAGGAAAAGUAGAGAAGGAGGGAAGAAUCCUUGGUAAAAAUUGCCUAUUCUGACUGUUUCCUUUUUCAGCAAAGUUCUGGUUUUUGGCUGAAAAGUAACGAGCUUUCCCCUCUAACUAUUUGUUUCCACCUUUGGCUUAAUGGAUCCCUGAGGAGUGAAGAAUCAGAGAUUAAAGCAGAGGCGACCUCCCUCUGGAAAUUCAACAGAGCAGGAAAAGCUAGUAAAUUCAGGAAGGAUUUUCAUCAAGAUG
rnacentral:lncRNA from 1 species